UCCUUUGCUGGGCCCACGGUUUACCUAUCUGCUGCAGAGACUGAACUUUCGGUGGCAGAUCAUCAACCAACGGACCAGUCUGUGUGCUCAGGAGGAGGAUGAGGCAUAUGAAGAAAACCAUGUGACUCAGGAGGUGGUGGAAGAGCAGCUGUUGCGGUUGGUCACACGAGAAGUCAUGGACCUUCUAAGUAAGUUUCCCUUAUGUAUGU